AUGGGGACGGCUAUGGGGCAAUGGGGACGGCUAUGGGUCAGUGGGAUGGCUAUGGGUCAAUGGGACGGCUAUGGGGCAAUGGGGACGGCUAUGGGUCAGUGGGAUGGCUAUGGGUCAAUGGGAACGGCUAUGGGUCACUGGGACGGCUAUGGGUCAAUGGGACGGCUAUGGGAUUUCAAUGGGACGGCUAUGGGUCAAUGGGACGGCUAUGGGUCAGUGGGAUGGUCUAUGGGUCAAUGGGACGGCUAUGUGGUCAGUGGGAAUGGCUAUGGGGCAAUGGGACGGUCUAUAGGGGCAAUGGGACGGCUAUUGGGGUCAGUGGGAUGGCUUAUGGGUCAGUGGGAUGGCGUUAUGGGGCAAAGGGGACAGGCUAAUGGGCAGUGGGGGACGGCUAUGGGUCAAGUGGCGGACGGCUUAUGGGGCAUGGGGACGGCUAUGGGGCAAUGGGGACGGCUAUGGGGCAAUGGGGACGGCUAUGGGGCAAUGGGGAUGGCUAUGGUCAUAUGGGGGGCGCAAAUCAACCCCCCUACUCCCACCCCUCCGCACGUCCCUCGCUCUAUCAC
rnacentral:lncRNA from 1 species